UCGUUGCUUCAUCCCCAAUCGCAAGAGACCUAGGUCAUCUCUCUCUCCUCCCCCGUCUCUCUCUCCCUCGCAUCUCUCUCGCGCCGCCGUCGACAUGAGAGCGCAGCGCACUCCGGCGUUCUUCCUCCUUCGUCCCCCCUUUUUGCACCCCAAGCCACAACCUCUCUUGUGUGCCUCCUUUCUCCUCCCCAUCGGGACCAGGCAGGGGAGGAGCAGCGCGGGCCACGGAGACGACGAGGUGGCCGAGCUGCCCGUGGCGCCGUCGCCGUACCUCACGACCCAACAGGAGGUGUGUCGGCCGCAAAGAUGGUAGAGGUCUCCUCCACUCACUCUCUCGCCGCCGCAGGAGGAGUGCGCGCAGGGGGGUGGCGGGUCAAGGUCCGCUCGGCGGCGCCGCCCGCUGAACGGCGGAUCCAUGCGCACCCUCUCCGACGACCUCCCGGGCACGCACCCGCUGGAAACGGCGAGGACCACACACUCCGUCCACCGCCGGCCACCAGGAGUAGCAGGACCACCACUGUUUCCUGUCCUCUUUGAUUCGAGAUCCACGCUGCUCCACUUCGUCCAGGUGGGGUUCUCUGUUUUGUGCAAAGUGCAGACUGAGAUGGUUUCUUGAAGCAACCAAUCAUUACAACAUAAUACUGCUGCUACCGGUCAUUAAUAUGAAUUUGGUAUCUAAUUGAUUUGUGGUGGCUGGCAAUUAUUUAGGCUUCAGUGGAUGUGAAUCACGGAAUAGGUAUUCAGGGAGCCACCCAGCCUCCUCACCGCUCGAGAUUCCUGGCCGUCGAUCAGUUUUGAGCUCUGUUCUGGACCGUUCGAUCUCGCCCUCAGAUGAUAUCGGCCGUCGGAUCAAGAAACAACACUGACAAUGAAUAGUGGGGUUCUCUGUUUUGUGCAAAGUGCAGACUGAGAUGGUUUCUUGAAGCAACCAAUCAUUACAACAUAAUACUGCUGCUACCGGUCAUUAAUAUGAAUUUGGUAUCUAAUUGAUUUGUGGUGGCUGGCAAUUAUUUAGGCUUCAGGUCAGUAAGAAUCCCCCCCCUAAUCAAAUAUAUGCUAUUUUCCUCCAUUUUGUUCCCAUCUGAUAUCCAGUAGAUGUGAAUCUUAUUCCUUUUCCGUGAAAAGCUACAAUUUUUUUACUGGCACUACUUUACUAUCUUCCAAGGUGUGCUUCCAUUUAAAUUUUGCAGGUCCUUUCAAUCAUUCAUAUUGCCUCUUGAUAUGUUUUACCGGAAGGGAAAUGCAUCCUCUGCUUGAACUUAUGAGCUUUCUGUGUUUAUUUAUUUAUUUCUUGAGUUCAUGCAUUCCUUAGGUUACGCCAUGUUAAUAAAAGCCCAUUAUGUGAUCAGGUAUUCAUACUUGGACCAUAUGACAAUCCUGCCAUAGCCACUGCAGCUUGAUGACUGUGUAGUUGCUAGGUGCAGAGGGUGUUGCUAAUAAAUGGCCAUUACUUGAUUAGGUGUUAAUGCUCUACUCAAAUUGCACUGAUAUUGAUCUUAAGAUGUCAAGCUUUUUUAUUAAGUGGUCUUCCUCGACUAAAAUAUCACGGUCUUUCUCUUCUGGUCACUCGCAACGGAUGUUAUGUUUCUUUUUUUGAAGUAUAUUUGGAUGUCUGAAGUUUUUUUCUUGAAUUAUGGCUAUCUUUUAUAGUAGUAAUGCUAAUUUGAGUCAAUAUAUCGGUGUUCCGUACCAUCCUAAAAAUGCGUCUCUGGUCACAGUCAUAGUUCUUAAUUUUCAUUGGAUUCCUAUAUGGUUUCUGAAUAUUUGAUGUUCUGAAUAUUAAGGAAUUACUUAAUUUCUAAAAUAUGUGCAUAUCCUGUUAUCAUCAUUGAGGGAAUCAAUUGGCACAAAUUUAGUGUGUACGUAUAGUUGAUUAAUAUUCAAAAUGUCAUGCUAUGUAACCAUGGGGUUUAGUUUUGCAUCAUGCUUGCCUCUAUAGUUUUGCUUGCUUAAUGGUCCUACUCCAUUGAGUGUUGCUCUUUUACCAAGAGUUAAUUUUCCUUUGGAAGUAUAAAGUUUUAAGCUUCAGAUGUGGUUUAUUAUGUUCCGAUUGGUCCUACUUUCAUACGAUAGAAUGCUGAUAAUUAAUUUUUCAUGCUGAUAGAUGUUGCCCCACCAUUCCAAACAAAAUGUGUAACCAGGCCACCCCUAGGUAUGUUCUUUUUUCAGGUUGGGUAAAAAAGCACUCGACACGAGUCUACCGAGGGCGUCGCCGGCAUAGACACGGUAGACUCGAGGGCAUCGCGAGAAGUCUGCAGGAGGUGCAGCAAAGAGGUCCUAGCGACCAUGGCAGCACAUCCGCGGCUGGUCCACCUCUGGCUGCUUCUCCACCACCAAGCGCCUGCCCCACAUGUGUUUCUUUUCUCCCAGGAGUGGACCGUAGCCAGGGAGAGCGGCCAGAGGAGCAAGGACGGUCAGCCCCUGCCUCCUCUCCUGCACGGCUGCACGUGAUGGGGAUUACGAGCAGCGUAUGUGAUUUUGGCAAGUACAGAUGAUAAAGAUUCAUGAUUUGGCUGCGCGCAUGCUUGCUGGCUGGAGGAGUUUGAUUCAUUACUUAAUGGCCUCAAAAUGGAUACAGGAUCUGUUGGAAUCAAGAAGGCGUUAAGGACGACGUCAAAAGCAAAAGGAACUAAGGAAGGGUUCUCGAGGUCUGCUCCUUCUCCACCGGUAGAGAGGAGCCUCCUUCUCAUGAUUCGCCUGUCUGCCCGGGCCCUCCCCGGCUAAAGCUGACGCCAUGGAAGGCCCCUUACCCCUCUUCCUCCUCUCUUCUGUUCCCUCUUUGUUAGAGGCGCAGUCAAUUUUUUUUGUUCUUUCUCUCUUUCCGAUUUAAACAUGAGCAUGCCCGUGCUCUCUUUUUGGUUGUGGUAGCUGUCAUAUCAUGUUGCAGUUUAGUUACAUUUUUUGGUCCCAUGUAUAUCCAAAUCAAAAAACACUUGUGGUUUGGUACAGUUAUAUUGCAAGUCGAAACAUAUUAUAUGUGUUAA